UGGUGACGAUGCCUAAAUGGUUCCACCUGUACCCAUACCGAACACAGUAGUUAAGCAUUUAGAGGCCGAAAGUACUUGCAUGGAGACGUGCUGGGAGGAUAGGAAGUUGCCAGUUA
rnacentral:rRNA from 3 species